rnacentral:rRNA from 1 species
GGGCGCAGCCUGAUCCAGCCAUGCCGCGUGAGUGAAGAAGGCCUUCGGGUUGUAAAGCUCUUUCGGUGGGGAAGAAAUUGCUUCGGAUAAUACCUGGAGUAGAUGACGGUACCCGCAUAAGAAGCACCGGCUAACUACGUGCCAGCAGCCGCGGUAAUACGUAGGGUGCGAGCGUUAAUCGGAAUUACUGGGCGUAAAGCGUGCGCAGGCGGUUGUAUAAGUCAGAUGUGAAAUCCCCGGGCUCAACCUGGGAACUGCAUUUGAGACUGUACGGCUGGAGUUUGGCAGAGGGA